rnacentral:rRNA from 1 species
GAUGAACGCUGGCGGCGUGCCUAAUACAUGCAAGUCGAGCGAACAGAUAAGGAGCUUGCUCCUUUGACGUUGGCGGCGGACGGGUGAGUAACACGUGGAUAACCUACCUAUAAGACUGGGAUAACUUCGGGAAACCGGAGCUAAUACCGGAUAACAUAUUGAACCGCAUGGUUCAAUAGUGAAAGGCGGCUUUGCUGUCACUUAUAGAUGGAUCCGCGCCGUAUUAGCUAGUUGGUAAGGUAACGGCUUACCAAGGCAACGAUACGUAGCCGACCUGAGAGGGUGAUCGGCCACACUGGAACUGAGACACGGUCCAGACUCCUACGGGAGGCAGCAGUAGGGAAUCUUCCGCAAAGGGCGAAAGCCUGACGGAGCAACGCCGCGUGAGUGAUGAAGGUCUUCGGAUCGUAAAACUCUGUUAUCAGGGAAGAACAAAUGUGUAAGUAACUGUGCACAUCUUGACGGUACCUGAUCAGAAAGCCACGGCUAACUACGUG